CUACAAAGCCGUCCCAGGAAGGCGAGGUCCAGGAUGGAAAACAGCCCGAUGUUGAAAGCAUCUACCCUGUUUCUCCUCCUGUGGAUGACACUCUCUUCAAGGGAUGGUGGCUUUUCAGUAGGAGUGCUGGUCCUCAUUUCCAGUGAGUGGGAGGCCGCCCUGCUUUCCAGCCAAUGGUCCCCUGGGGAGCUGUCUCAGGCGAAGGUACAAACAGGGCCUGUUUCCCCUCGGAGCUUUCAGUUCACUGGAAACGUGUUCCCAACGCAGUGGCACCCUCAGCAGCCUCUGCGACAAAUCCAGGGCGGGCCAGGCCUGAAAGUGAAGGACACCCCAGGAGCAGUCCCCUGCCCCCAGCCAGUGUUCGCUGCUGCCGCGGCUGUUAGUCCGAUUGCCAAGAGUUAGGUCCUGCCUGACUCGCUCCCCUCUCCCCCUGCCCCCUCUCAUCUGAGCUAACUCUCCCUCCUGGGUCCCAGAGCGCUGGUCAGUAUCCUGGGGGCAUGUGUGAUUUCUGGCCUCUGCUGCUGUCUGCCUGGUGGGCAUCUCUGUGUCUCCUGCAGCACCCAUCCCAGCGUGGUGCUGCCACUGCAGGAGACCCCCACCCUUGGAGGGAGGGAGAGGCGGGAGCCCCUGGGCUCAGCUUCAGCUCCACCCGCCAGGAAACUGGAGCUCCAAGGGCCUGACAUGUCUUGUCUGACUUUAACUUUUUAUGAAAAACAUAAAAACACACAA